rnacentral:tRNA from 1 species
GGUGGCUCAGUGGUAGAAUGUUUGCCUUGCAUGCAUGAGGCCCUGAGUUCGAUCCUCAGCACCA